CCUACGGGAGGCAGCAGUGAGGAAUAUUGGUCAAUGGACGAGAGUCUGAACCAGCCAAGUAGCGUGAAGGAUGACUGUCCUAUGGGUUGUAAACUUCUUUUAUAUGGGAAUAAAACGUUCCACGUGUGGGAUUUUGUAUGUACCAUAUGAAUAAGGAUCGGCUAACUCCGUGCCAGCAGCCGCGGUAAUACGGAGGAUCCGAGCGUUAUCCGGAUUUAUUGGGUUUAAAGGGAGCGUAGGUGGAUUGUUAAGUCAGUUGUGAAAGUUUGCGGCUCAACCGUAAAAUUGCAGUUGAAACUGGCAGUCUUGAGUACAGUAGAGGUGGGCGGAAUUCGUGGUGUAGCGGUGAAAUGCUUAGAUAUCACGAAGAACUCCGAUUGCGAAGGCAGUUCACUGGACUGCAACUGACACUGAGGCUCGAAAGUGUGGGUAUCAAACAGGAUUAGAUACCCCUGUAGUC
rnacentral:rRNA from 1 species